GUGAUUGAUGAGCUAUUGGAUGAACUCCAUGGUGCACAAUGGUUUACGAAACUGGAUCUCAGGGCUGGAUACCACCAAAUAAGAUUAGCCCCUGGAGAAGAGUAUAAAACAGCCUUCCAAACGCACCAUGGGCAUUUUGAGUUCCUAGUUGUGGGUUUUGGCCUGACAGGAGCUCCAAAUACUUUUCAAGGGGCCAUCCAUGUAUCCUUGUCUGAAGAACCUGACAUGCUUAGAAAUUUUGUGAUUGCAUUCUUUGAUGACAUCCUAGUUUUCAGUAAAACACUGAAACAGCAUCUAGAGCAUGUCAGAAGAGUAUUGCAAGUUUUGAGAAGGGACAAAUGGUAUGUAAAGCUUUCCAAGUGUGAAUUUGCUUCU
rnacentral:rRNA from 1 species